rnacentral:rRNA from 1 species
CACCCGUUCCCAUACCGAACACGGAAGUUAAGCUCUCUAGCGCCGAUGGUAGUUGGGACCUUGUCCCUGUGAGAGUAGGGCGUCGCCAAGC